CCUACGGGGUGCAGCAGUCGAGAAUCAUUCACAAUGGGGGAAACCCUGAUGGUGCGACGCCGCGUGGGGGAAUGAAGGUCUUCGGAUUGUAAACCCCUGUCAUGUGGGAGCAAAUUAAAAAGAUAGUACCACAAGAGGAAGAGACGGCUAACUCUGUGCCAGCAGCCGCGGUAAUACAGAGGUCUCAAGCGUUGUUCGGAAUCACUGGGCGUAAAGCGUGCGUAGGCUGUUUCGUAAGUCGUGUGUGAAAGGCGCGGGCUCAACCCGCGGACGGCACAUGAUACUGCGAGACUAGAGGGAUGGAGGGGGAACCGGAAUUCUCGGGGUAGCAGUGAAAUGCGGAGGUAUCGAGAGGAACCCUCGGGGCGAAGGCGGGUUCCUGGACAUUAACUGACGCUGAGGCACGAAGGCCAGGGGAGCGAAAGGGAUUAGAUACCCGGGUAGUC
rnacentral:rRNA from 1 species